UGGGGAAUAUUGGGCAAUGGGGGAAACCCUGACCCAGCAACGCCGCGUGAAGGAAGAAGGCUUUCGGGUUGUAAACUUCUUUGACCAGGGACGAAACAAAUGACGGUACCUGGAAAACAAGCCACGGCUAACUACGUGCCAGCAGCCGCGGUAAUACGUAGGUGGCAAGCGUUGUCCGGAUUUACUGGGUGUAAAGGGCGCGUAGGCGGGAGUGCAAGUCAGAUGUGAAAUGCUGGGGCUUAACCCUGGAACUGCAUUUGAAACUGUACUUCUUGAGUAUCGGAGAGGCAGGCGGAAUUCCUAGUGUAGCGGUGAAAUGCGUAGAUAUUAGGAGGAACACCAGUGGCGAAGGCGGCCUGCUGGACGACAACUGACGCUGAGGCGCGAAAGCGUGGGGAGCAAACA
rnacentral:rRNA from 1 species